UGGGGAAUAUUGCACAAUGGGGGAAACCCUGGUGCAGCAACGCCGCGUGAGUGAUGACGGCCUUCGGGUUGUAAAGCUCUGUCUUCAGGGACGAUAAUGACAGUACCUGAGGAGGAAGCCACGGCUAACUACGUGCCAGCAGCCGCGGUAAUACGUAGGUGGCAAGCGUUGUCCGGAUUUACUGGGCGUAAAGGGAGCGUAGGCGGACUUUUAAGUGAGAUGUGAAAUACCCGGGCUCAACCUGGGUGCUGCAUUUCAAACUGGAAGUCUAGAGUGCAGGAGAGGAGAGUGGAAUUCCUAGUGUAGCGGUGAAAUGCGUAGAGAUUAGGAAGAACACCAGUGGCGAAGGCGACUCUCUGGACUGUAACUGACGCUGAGGCUCGAAAGCGUGGGGAGCAAACA
rnacentral:rRNA from 1 species